rnacentral:rRNA from 1 species
GUGGGGAAUAUUGGACAAUGGGCGCAAGCCUGAUCCAGCCAUGCCGCGUGAGUGAUGAAGGCCUUAGGGUUGUAAAGCUCUUUCAGUGGGGACGAUAAUGGCGGUACCCACAGAAGAAGCCCCGGCUAACUUCGUGCCAGCAGCCGCGGUAAUACGAAGGGGGCUAGCGUUGUUCGGAUUUACUUGGCGUAAAGCGCACGUAGGCGGAUCGUUAAGUCGGGGGUGAAAUCCUGGAGCUCAACUCCAGAACUGCCUUCGAUACUGGCGAGCUUGAGUACGGAGGAGGUGAGUGGAACUCCUAGUGUAGAGGUGGAAUUCGUAGAUAUUAGGAAGAACACCAGUGGCGAAGGCGGCUCACUGGUCCGGUACUGACGCUGAGGUGCGAAAGCGUGGGGAGCAAACAGGAUUAGAUACCCGGGUAGUCC